rnacentral:rRNA from 1 species
GACGAACGCUGGCGGCGUGCUUAACACAUGCAAGUCGAACGGAAAGGCCCUGCUUUUGUUGGGUGCUCGAGUGGCGAACGGGUGAGUAACACGUGAGUAACCUGCCCUUGACUUUGGGAUAACUUCAGGAAACUGGGUCUAAUACCGGAUAGGAGCUCCUGCUGCAUGGUGGGGGUUGGAAAGUUUCGGCGGUUGGGGAUGGACUCGCGGCUUAUCAGCUUGUUGGUGGGGUAGUGGCUUACCAAGGCUUUGACGGGUAGCCGGCCUGAGAGGGUGACCGGCCACAUUGGGACUGAGAUACGGCACAGACUCCUACGGGAGGGAGCAGUGGGGAAUAUUGCACAAUGGGCGGAAGCCUGAUGCAGCAACGCCGCGUGCGGGAUGACGGCCUUCGGGUUGUAAACCGCUUUCGCCUGUGACGAAGCGUGAGUGACGGUAAUGGGUAAAGAAGCACCGGCUAACUACGUG